rnacentral:lncRNA from 1 species
ACAAUGUAAUGCAGCAGAUGACAUGGAGUGAGUUUAGAAUUCUUAAACAAGGAGCGUCAAUUUGAUUGGCUGUUGCAUGCCAUUUAAAUCGCAUUUGAGUUGCUUCAUGUAACAGCAAAGUUGCUUGCAACUGGAACUAAAAUUGUGUGAAAGUUGCUUUGUGUAACGCACUCCUUAGAAUCUCCUUUGGCAGUGAUUACGGCUGUUGGUCUUUCUGGGUUCCCUUUUUUGCGAGGCAUCGGACAACCUUCCUGGUCUUUGUGGUUGAAUCUGUGUUUGAAAUUCACUGCUCGACUGAGGGACCUUACAGAUAAUUGUAUGUGAGGGGUACAGAGAUGAGAGAAUUUGGCAGUACUUCCAACUGGCCUCACAACUGCAGACCAUGUGUAUGGCGUCAUGUGGGCGAUCAACGUAUACAACAGCGUGUUCCAGUUCCCGCCAAUAUCCAGGAACUUUGCACAGACAUUGAAGAGGAGUGGGACAACAUUCCACAGGCCACAAUCAACAGCCUGAUCAACUUUGUGCGAAGGACAUGUGUCACGCUGCAUGAGACAAAUGGUGCUCCC